UGGAAAUAGCUAGAAUUGACACAUGAGGAC
rnacentral:piRNA from 1 species